UGCAAAAUGCAAGUAUAGGCACAGUUGUAAUGAUACAUUUCGCUCGCUGUCGUUUGACCUAUAUUUCUUUCUACUGUUGCUACAAGACAUGAAUGGGUGGAAAAGGGAGAAAGUCGAUUACAUAGACGCCCACACCUCAGUGUUUCACCAUUACUUAAUUUGUCGACACCGAAAGGAUGAAAGGUAUAGUCGAACCCGAAAAGAUGCUAGGUGAAGCAAACAAUUGUCAUUUAAAAGGAUCAAUCACAAGAUACAUAGUGGUUUGAAUAAAAUAAAUAAAAAAAAAGAAAAGUUCGGAAACAUUUUACAUAAAAACAUGUACCAGUCGUGUGAAAACAAGAAUUUUUAGCAAAACUUACGCAGCUUGUUCUUAAAUACGUUUGACGUACUCUGUGUGAAAAUAUACUACUACUACUACUACUACUACUACUACUACUACUACUACUACUACUACUACUACUACUACUACUACUACUACUACUACUACUAAUAUUAAUAAUAAUAAUAAUACAAGGUUUGUCUUGGUAUAAAAGAUGAUCUACAACAAAUAUUCUGCUUACUAACACAGAUUCUCUUGUCAGUUAUUUCGCCUUAACCAACAAAGCAUCUUUCAUAAUAACUUGCCAUAUAUACAUCUUUGUUCACGAGCAGGAGUAUUGGACAUCAUAGCUAUAGUCUCAGAGGAAUCCUUAGGGGUUUGAAUAAUUCAUCUCUGGAAGCAUGGCUGUGUUCUUUUCAUCAUUAGAGAAGCCUCAUCAAGGGACCUUUUGAGUGGGAUGGGCUACUCGACCUGCAGACAAUUCUAACUGGGGCCCACCUGCUAGGUGAUGUGCUGUUCAUCUUGAUAUGAUAUUAGCAUGUUGUGCACAUAUAGUUAUGGUGCAUGUGCUAGAUGUACACUUAUCAGAUUUCUAAUCAGAAUAGUUAUAGGGGGCUUCGUACAUUUGUGCCCCAGUGUCAAUUUGAUGGCAUGCACUGCUCUCUUACACAAUAAUAAUAAUAAUAAUAAUAAUAAUAAUAAUAAUAAUAAUAAUAAUAAUAAUAAUGAUGAUAA